rnacentral:rRNA from 1 species
UGGGGCCUACGGGAGGCAGCAGUGAGGAAUAUUGGUCAAUGGGCGGGAGCCUGAACCAGCCAAGUCGCGUGAGGGAAGACGGUCCUAUGGAUUGUAAACCUCUUUAGGCGGGGAGCAAUGCCGGGUACGUGUGCCCGGAGGGAGAGUACCCGCAGAAUAAGCAUCGGCUAACUCCGUGCCAGCAGCCGCGGUAAUACGGAGGAUGCGAGCGUUAUCCGGAUUUAUUGGGUUUAAAGGGUGCGUAGGCGGAUUUUUAAGUCAGCGGUAAAAUGUCCGGGCUCAACCGGGGCCGGCGGUUGAAAUUG